AUGGAGAUGUCUAGACGAGGAGCAAGAGUUCUUGCCCUUGGAUGUAAAUCGUUAGGGAGUCUAUCCCAUCAACAGGUGAGAGAAAUGGCCCGGGAUGAAGUGGAGAAGGACUUACAGUUCUGUGGCUUUGUCAUCAUCUCCUGUCCCCUCAAGUCCGACUCCAAGGCUGUCAUCAAGGAAAUCAGUCAGGCUUCUCACCAUGUUGUAAUGAUCACUGGAGACAACCCGCUCACAGCCUGUCAUGUGGCCAAGGAACUCAAAAUGACCAGGAAAGAAAUGUUGAUUCUAGAAAAACCCAAUGCUUUAGAUGGCUCCUGGCACUGGCAGUCUAUAGAUGACAAAAUAAUUCUCCCUUUGAAACCUGAGUCCCUGAGAGCCAAGGUCCUCCCCAAAUACGAUCUCUGUCUCACAGGAGAUGCGAUAUCCUAUCUGCAGACGCAAGAUAAGAAAUGUAUGAAGUCUGUACUCCCUGCUGCCAGAGUGUUUGCUCGUGUGUCACCUAAACAAAAGGAAUUUGUGAUAAUCACCCUGAAGGGUUUGGGAUUUACCACGUUGAUGUGCGGAGAUGGAACCAAUGAUGUAGGAGCGCUGAAACAUGCUCAUGUUGGUGUUGCUUUGCUUGCUAAUGCACCAGAGAGGCCGAUUGAGAGGAGGAGAAAGAGGGAGAAGCAAGAUGAGGGAACUUCAGUGGAUGGUGAAGCAUCUGGUCCCAGUGACAGAGGAAUGCCCCCUGGUAUGAAAACUACUGGUAAAUUAUCGGGACGUGCUGCUAAAGCAAGAGCAGUGGCAAGAGGAGACAACUUAGCUCCGGCACAGAAAAAGUUAGCCAAUAUGAUGAGGGAAAUAGAAGAAGAGGAGAAGGCCCAGAUUGUGAAGCUUGGAGAUGCCAGCAUAGCCUCUCCCUUCACCUCCAAGCUUUCCACUACCAUGUGUGUGUGCCAUAUAAUCAAGCAGGGUAGAUGUACCUUGGUGACCACCCUACAGAUGUUCAAGAUCCUGGCGCUGAACGCCCUGAUCCUAGCGUACAGUCAGAGCGUCUUGUACCUGGACGGCAUCAAGUUCAGUGACAGUCAGGCCACCAUGCAGGGUCUGCUGCUGGCCGGCUGUUUCCUCUUUAUAUCUAGGUCAAAGCCUUUGAAAAUCUUGUCCAAGGCGAGACCUCUACCCAACAUCUUUAACAUAUACACAUUAUUGACAGUGUCUCUACAAUUCACUGUCCACUUCUGUUGUCUAGUCUAUUUAGUGCAGGGUGCCAAGGCCAUUACUCCUCCUAGGGAGGACGAAUUUGUAGAUUUAGAGGCAAAAUUUUCCCCAAAUAUACUAAACACAACUGUGUACAUUAUUUCAAUGGCUCUUCAAGUUUCCACUUUUGCUGUGAACUACAAGGGUGAGCCAUUCAUGGAGAGUUUGUUCAAUAACAAACCUCUGCUGUAUAGUCUCGCUUUCUCCUGUACUGCUAUCACCGCACUAGCUAGUGGAGUAGUCCCAGAUAUAGCAGAUCAAUUUGAAAUAGUUCCAUUACCAACAGAGUUCCGUAAUACAGUGCUACAGAUUCUAGCAGCAGAUAUAGGUGGAUCAUUCAUCAUUGACAGAGUGUGUUCUUACUUAUUUGGGCGAGGAAGUUUACGACGUGUAUAAUGUUAUUUAUUGAAUUACAAUUAAAUGUCGGAUGUUGUUAAUGGGUGAAAAUGAAUCAUAGGGCGUCAUGUUCCCUUUUAAUUUAGUCCAUCAUUCCAAUGUAUUACACACUACAUGGUUAAGCAGACUAAUGUCACCUCACCUUCAUUCAAAUAGUUAUUGGAGCCUUUUUGUUGCAAUUUUCUUGAUAUUUUAGAUAUUAUGCAGUGUAUGAUUGUUAAGGAUACAGAUCGAAUGUAUGGUGAUUGUUGUAGACAAAGUAAAAAUGAAGACGUA
rnacentral:misc_RNA from 1 species